AUGCCCAAUGGGGACAGGAUCAGGGAGUUAACCGAUUUAAGUGCAUGCAGGAAGCGCCUAAUGAAUGCAGGCUGCAACUGUGGUUACAGCUUGUGGGGCAGAGGGCAGGGGGCCCUCUCAACAGGCCCAGUAGGAGGUCCUCCGUGGAGGUGCUCAGGCUCCGGGGAGCGCAGGGACAGGGACACAGCCGCGGCCAGCGGAGUGCCGGCGCAGGCAGGCUGCGCUGGCUCCGGGCUGAGGUCGGGGCCGGUGGAGAGGGACCGGAGCAGCAGUGAGCAGGCGGUGCUGGGGAGCUGCUGCGGACGGCCGGCGCUCCCGGGAGCCCGCGUGGCCGAGAGGGAGCCCAGUCCUCCCGCAGCGAGGCCGGCUCGAGCGCCACAGCGCUCCCGAGCGAGCGCGCGCCCGGCUGCACGGCGGCGGGGGAGGGGCUGCAGUACCUCCGGGGCAGGUGUGCAGGGCGCGAGCUCUCCGGGCAGGCGCCUGUGGUCUGCGGUCGGUCGGAAUGAGGGGCCGGGCGUGGGCCGGCAGGUCCGGGUGUGCCCGGCCGGCCGGGGCUGGUGGGGACGCGGCUCCGCGAGAGGACGGGACCGCCGGCUGCGUCUCCAGCAGGAGGCGGCGCGGGCCCCUGGCGGGCCCCGACCGACCGUGCCGCGCAGGUGUUUUCACCGUGAUGACAACAGGUGCCCUCCUCCGCCACCAUCGCUGAUUCCAGGCCAGAGCCGUGCGAGGACCAGGGAGGUGAAUCUGACCCGGCGGCGUUGUGUCUCCUGGGAAAUCGAGGCUUGGGAGAAAUCACUGGGAUUGGCCCCCUUGGAAGGACCACAGCACAAAACAGGGGCUCACCCACCCAGUGAGGCACAGCCGUUGACACACCUUGGACCGCCUUGUCUGAGCAAGAUGGCAGCGGAGCG
rnacentral:lncRNA from 1 species